GGUCGGGUAGCUCAGAUGGCUAGAGCUUGAGGCUUGUAUACCUCUAAUGUCGCCGGUUCAAGUCCGGCCCCGGCCU
rnacentral:tRNA from 1 species